UACGAAGGGGGCUAGCGUUGCUCGGAAUGACUGGGCGUAAAGGGCGCGUAGGCGGCUUGCACCGUCAGAUGUGAAAUUCCUGGGCUUAACCUGGGGGCUGCAUUUGAUACGUGUGGGCUUGAGUGCGGAAGAGGGUCGUGGAAUUCCCAGUGUAGAGGUGAGAUUCGUAGAUAUUGGGAAGAACACCCGUGGCGAAGGCGGCUCUCUGGGACGGUACUGACGCUGAGACGCGAAAGCGUGGGGAGCGAACAGG
rnacentral:rRNA from 1 species